GGCUGCCUUCUUGUUCACAGCUUUGGUGGAAGAACGAUCUCAGAACUGUUUAUCUCAAUUGGCCGUUUAAGUUUAAUAGUAAAAGACUGGUUAAUGAUAACAAUGCAUCGUAAAGCCUUCACA